UACGGAGGAUGCAAGCGUUAUCCGGAAUGAUUGGGCGUAAAGCGUCCGCAGGUGGCUGUGUAAGUCUGCUGUUAAAGAGUCUAGCUCAACUAGAUAAAAGCAGUGGAAACUACACGGCUAGAGUACGUUCGGGGCAGAGGGAAUUCCUGGUGUAGCGGUGAAAUGCGUAGAUAUCUGGAGGAACACCGGUGGCGAAGGCGGCAUCCUGGACCAAUAUUGACGCUGAGGAGCGAAAGCUAGGGGAGCAAACGGG
rnacentral:rRNA from 1 species